rnacentral:rRNA from 1 species
GAUUACGGCCAUACCACACUGAAAAUGCCCGAUCUUGGAAGCUAAAUAGAGUUGGUCUGGGUCAGUACUUGGAUGGGUGACCGCCUGGGAAUACCCGGUGCUGUAAGCA